GUUAGCACCAAUCUGGGAAGCUAUGGCGAGGUUUGCCUCAGCAAUGCGCGUUGUCUGCCGGCUUAGGGUCCUGCAGCUUAAAAUCGGUUUGUCUAUUUAAUUGGUCCCUAUCCUUGAGGCUGUUCACUGCCAUGGGCCUUCUCAGCCGUCACAUUUCAUGGAUAUUGCUUAUUGAUUUAUAUUUCGUUUGUCGGUCGGCCGCUGAGCCUUGUCACUGGCGUGCAUGACGGUGACUGCUGAGCUACUUCGCACACGACUAUUGGUAGAGGUGAUGCACAUGGCCAUGCCCGAAUGCGCGUCGUCGUGUCUCGGUGGUUGUGUUGACAUGUUGCGCGCUGCAGAGUCCUGGUCUGGCCAUGGCGGAUGUAUAGGGAAAUGGGUGACUUCAUACGCCCAUAAGAGGUAUAGGACCUAGAGCAUUGCACUAGCGGCUCUACUGGGGAGAUAUCAGUUCCCUGGCAGGUGCCUCGAGUUGUUGUUUCUCGGAAUGGAAUGGCUAUGUUCUACUACUGAGUCGAUCUCGUCCGGCAGAUGAGGUUUUCCAACGUAUGCUCUGCGAGGUGCGUUUCUUCCGCGUUUGUAUGAAGUACCUAAUUCUUUUAUCGGCCGGCUUUCCACCGCGGCCUGCGGUUUGCAGGCUUGCCUCUGUACGGCUGCGCAGUAGGCUGCUUUCCGACAUGACGCCAUUACGACACCACGUUUGUUGCCCGACCAGGGUUCUGGAAACCUCGGUCUUUGGCAUUACCAUGAUGGUGUUUCUCACAAAGCCAUGCCGCCGACAAACAGUGUUAGUUGUGGCCCUUCCAGUAAGGUCGGGUUUUCCAACAGAUGCUGGUCUCCAUAUUGUAUUUAAAGUGACGUAUUUUGAGUGCGGUGUUCCUCCAUGUUUGUGUGCGGUGCCCCGCGUACCAUGAGUGGUUCUAUCCGAGUAAAGUGAAAAGAGAGUGAGGGUGAGCCGGUGAGAGUUGAGAGCUAAGCAUGUUUGCAAACGAGGUUAUUUUGAGGGUGGAGAGGAGCGGAUGGCAGUCUGGUGGUGCGGCGCACAUCACGAUUUGUUAUGUACGGCGUGAGUCCAUGGUACGACGGCCUUUUGAAAAGUGAAAAUUUGUGAGCUUAGGGAUGAAAGCUGAGAGCUGGCGUUGCCUAGUGCCUAAAUGUCGUUGGCGUGCUGUCUUCGUUCGGAGCAGCUCUAGCGACAAUGACGUUGUGAGGGGCAGAGUACGAGGAGGUGGAGAGGAUGAGGAGUUCGCUUGGCUGGGGAGCUUCAAACCUCUUAUGAAAGCUAUUGCGUCGUGUGAGAGUUGUUGAUACGUGUGUUGAUUGCGUGGGAUUUCGAGUCGUCCCGUGCAUGAGUGAGUGAGUGAGAGGCCGGAUAUGCCGACGAGCGUAGCGAGAAGUGGUGAGCCGGAGGGGUCAUGGAUUUGCAGGUUUGGGCGGGCGGACUUUGAACUGCUGCCGGUUUGAUGAUAGCGUGUGCUUCGUGUGCUGAGCUAUAUUUAAUGCCUGUCGGUUGCACAUUGCGUGUGUGGUUAGUUCGGCCCUCGUCUCGAAGGUGACGCCUGCAGAUACACCAGUAUUUUGUUUGAGAGGCUGCGAGCUGGACCUUAGUGCUUCUGAUUAUCCGAGCAAUCUCAUCUGUUACGUCCUUCGUCACGGGGAGUUGCGUCCUUCUGGGAGUACGCCCUAUUUCUGGCGAACUUUCGGAGGACUGCUUAUCCUUUGUGACGGUUCGGCUCUCCUGCUGUGCUCUGGUUUACGGCAAGAGUGACAGUCUCAGCCAAUUUCUGAGGCUUGGUCGCUUCCGCUGUGCGUUUCGGCAGGAAUGGGUUGACGUGUGGGGCCCUGCGGGGGAUGUGAGCGUUCGGGUGAUCUUAGGAUGACGGGAAGCAUCUGGCGCGCGCCCACUCGGCGCCGUUUUGGGUUCGUGUGCUUGCAAGGUAGGGUAUUUUAUAUGUGCGGUCAGUGCAGUUUCUAUCGGAUGUAUCGCCGAAUCGCCUGCGUUUCACGGUUGGGCUGCGCAACUUUGGGCUGCGUCAGGGUGAAGCCCUUGACCUGUUGCAGUGGAGGGCUACUUUGCUGCAAUGGAGGUCCAAGCCGCAGUGCGUGAUAGCUGCUUGUGUGAUGGAGUGGUCAAUUCGAUGCGCCUGCCGUUCUCCCCGACCCUACCUGAAUGAUCGUUGUGACUAUUUUGAAUUUCGAGGGUUGGAUUUCGUAUUACAUAUCAGGAGUCGAGUGGCUGGUGGAGGUGUUGCUUAGUGAGCCAAAAAAGCCACUGGAGGUCUGUCCGGUGCUUUGGUGCUUAUGCUUUGCUGUUAAGCCCUUUCAGUCUAGUCGUGAACACUUUGCAUAAAUGCAGCGCACUUUCUUCGAUGUGCAUUGAGGUGGGGCUUUGAGGAACUACGCGACCAGGUUGCGCAGUAUUGUGCCUAAGUAUUUGGAGACUUUGCGCCCUGCUCCACGCCCAUGGCUUCCUAUGGGUCCCAUGUAGCGCAGUAUGGAAUUCCGAAUGGAAGAUUGUGAGGUAAAUAUGUAACAUCUUGGAUCGUGAA
rnacentral:lncRNA from 1 species